UACCAUACCAAAUGAUCUCAAACCUACGCCCUCAAACAACCCUUGCAUGGAAGCUCAAAAUCCGAGUAACGCGACUGUGGCAAGCAAUCGAUAGACAUGGAGAUACAGUAGGCUUACACUGUAUUUUCGUCGAUGAACUGGAAGGCCGGAUUCAUGCAUGGAUUCCUGCACAAAACAUGAAUCAAAUUCAGAAUUUGCUUACCGAAGGAGAAACCUAUAAUGUGCAUAAUUUUAUUGUUAGGCAAUAUGGUGCCAUGCAAACAGAUAGAUGCUUUGACAAUGAUGUGUUCAUCCAGCUUUAUCAUUUGACUGAGAUAUCGGUGGCUCAAGGUGUGGAUUAUAUCCAACGUCAUGUCUUUAACUUCACUGAACUUUCAGCUGUAAUGGAAACUACAAGGGAAAACAAAUUUCUAAUCGGUCAGUCAUUGCUAUUUUCCACAAAGAGUUUAAUAAAAACCAGUGUAGACUUUCCUAACUGCCCAUUUUGUUUUGUAGAUGUUGUUGGAAUUCUUCAACAAAGGCAACCAAUCACUAGCUACAGGAACAAAUAUAAUCAGCUAAAACACAGCAUUUAGUUUACCAUCAACGAUAUGUUGUCUGUGUUCAUCUUUCUAAACUUGAAUGUUAUACAAAACUUGCAUGCUUAACACUUGACAAAAGUUAUCAAACUCUUAACAGCGGCUCUGCAAAUGUAAUAUUCUACGAUGAGAUGGCACAAGCUUUUGAUCAAGGAGUACGUGAUGCUACCCAACAUCUUAUCGUUGUUAUCAUAUCCAGUGCUAAAGCUAUAUUCAUCCAAGGUUGGCAAACUGGCAUAUCCACUGAUGUCCUAGAGUGGAAGGAUGCAAAAUGGAGGCCUAUACUACCUAAGACAUCUUCCAACCCUGCAGAUGCUAUUUCUAUUUUUCGACCAUUUUAUUCAGCUUAUGUAAUCUUUGGAUUUGUAAAAACGUUUAGUAACUUUGUACUUUUGAAUUGUAACUCUAAAUUUGGUUUGCAGGCAAAAUUAACAUCUCUGUACU